rnacentral:rRNA from 1 species
GAUGAACGCUGGUGGCGUGCCUAAUACAUGCAAGUCGAGCGAACAGAUGAGAAGCUUGCUUCUCUGAUGUUAGCGGCGGACGGGUGAGUAACACGUGGGUAACCUACCUAUAAGACUGGGAUAACUCCGGGAAACCGGGGCUGAUACCGGAUAAUAUUUUGAACCGCAUGGUUCGAUAGUGAAAGACGGUUUUGGCUGUCACUUAUAGAUGGACCCGCGCCGUAUUAGCUAGUUGGUAAGGUAACGGCUUACCAAGGCGACGAUACGUAGCCGACCUGAGAGGGUGAUCGGCCACACUGGAACUGAGACACGGUCCAGACUCCUACGGGAGGCAGCAGUAGGGAAUCUUCCGCAAUGGGCGAAGGCCUGACGGAGCAACGCCGCGUGAGUGAUGAAGGUCUUCGGAUCGUAAAACUCUGUUGUUAGGGAAGAACAAAUUUGUUAGUAACUGAACAAGUCUUGACGGUACCUAACCAGAAAGCCACGGCUAACUACGUGCCAGCCGCCGCGGUAA